rnacentral:rRNA from 1 species
UACAGAGGGUGCGAGCGUUAAUCGGAAUUACUGGGCGUAAAGCGCGCGUAGGCGGCUUUGCAAGUCGGGUGUGAAAUCCCCAGGCUUAACCUGGGGACUGCAUUCGAGACUGCAUUGCUAGAGUAUGGGAGAGGGAAGUGGAAUUCCCGGUGUAGCGGUGAAAUGCGCAGAUAUCGGGAGGAACACCAGUGGCGAAGGCGGAACUCUGGGCCGGAACUGACGCUGAGGAGCGAAAGCGUGGGGAGCGAACAGG